CACCAGUAGAUGAGACCUCACCUCAAGUGGUUUCAGAUCAGGUGGCAUCCACAUCCUCUGCCAUAUCCAUUAAUUCAUUCCCAUCGCUCUCAAUUGCUCUAGUACAAGAUGAGACUGUGGCUGAGAGUACCCAAGCUCAAAGUGUGGUUGCAAAUCAGGCUCUUCAAGAAUGGCGAGCAAUACGUGCUCAGCAAGACCAGGAGUAUAAUACAAGUUUGUUGGUGGAUCAGGAGAAGGAGAGGAAGAAACUAGCCUAUCAGGCCUGUGAGGAAAGACGUCAAAAGGCUAUUGAGGGAAGACGUCAGCGACUGUCUGCAUGUGAGGAACCCUCAGAUGGGGCCUUGAUCAAAUUUAAAUAUCCAAAUGGACACAUCAAUGGGAGGAAAUUCAGCUUGUCAGAGCCAAUCCAGAUCUUGUUUGACUUUGUGGGACAAGUGAAAUUGCCAGUGAAAUCUUUGUAGUGCAAGAAGCCACAUCCUCAAGAUCAAUUGAGAGCAGUUCAUCCGGGUCAAUAAUGGAUCAUGGCAUUAAAGCAUCCUCAACUCUAUAUGUACUUUGGUAUUCAAAUCAGGAUGUACAGGAAAUUCUCUCGGAUCAGCAAAAUGAUGGAUCUCAUGCCCUAGACGAUACAUCUCAUGGUCACUCAUUGCUGGCUAAGACCUCCUCCCAGCCAAGUCUCUCUGUGCCCUCUCUCCAGCCACUGCUGUGUGAGACCACCCAGCCAAGUCUCUCUGUGCCCUCUCUCCAGCCACUGCUGUGUGAGACCACCCAGCCAAGUCUCUCUGUGCCCUCUCUCCAGCCACUGCUGUGUGAGACCUCCACCCAGCCAAGUCUCUCUGUGCCCUCUCUCCAGCCACUGCUGUGUGAGACCACCCAGCCAACUCUCUCUGUGCCCUCUCUCCAGCCACUGCUGUGUGAGACCUCCACCCGCUCACUGCUGUCUGAGCCCUCCUCCCAGCCACCACUCACUCUGUUCUCACAACCACAAGAAAUCCUGACUCUUCAUGAUGAACCAUCACUCCCUCCAUCUGCCCAGGAACCAAUCAUUAUUUUUGAUGAACAAGAUGAGACAGUUACACAAAAUCAGUCUCAUGUAUCAACACAUCACCUCAGAGGACCUGUGGAUGAGAUUGAUCUACAAACCAUAUUGAAAAAAAAUGGUCAGCAAAGUUGACGGAAGCUUCUGUCCAACAAGCAACCAAAUAAAUGUGUGCAGGGAUAAUGUUUUACUGUGUAGCCUGCGGGCGUUCAAGCGUAGGUUCUUCAACCCUGAAGCAAAAUUGGAUGUUGUGUUUGUGGAUGAAGAUGACAAUGGUGAAGGGGCAGUUGACGAAGGCGGCCCGACAAGAGAGUACCUAAGGCUGUUAAUGAGGGCUGUCCACCAGUCCAAUAUCUUUGAGGGCCAUGAGAAAGACCGGCAGUUGUCUCUUGAUACUCAAGGUUUCAUCUGUGUUGUAUCAUCUUGCUUUUAUUUGUUUAAUUUUGCCUUGAUUUGUUAAUUCUCAGUUAGGAUUUUUCCAUGAUUCUUCAUUUCUUUGUCUUUUUGUACUUGAUGUUUCGAAAGGUGCAAUACUUAUUAUUCGUUGUAGCACUAAUAUUAAUCAUAGCAUUUUAAGGUAUUGCAUUUUUAAGAAGCAUUACAACAGAGCAAUAUUUUACGGUUAUGUCUUUAAUUUUAGCUUUGCAGACUAAACUUUACACAUGAGUGGCAAAAAUGAUUGCUGUGUGUGUCGUCCAUGGAGGAGUCGGUCCACACUUCUUU